rnacentral:rRNA from 1 species
UACAGAGGUCUCAAGCGUUGUUCGGAUUCAUUGGGCGUAAAGGGUGCGUAGGCGGCGCGGUAAGUCGGAUGUGAAAUCUUGGAGCUUAACUUCGAAACUGCAUUCGAUACUGCCGUGCUUGAGGACUGGAGAGGAGACUGGAAUUUACGGUGUAGCGGUGAAAUGCGUAGAUAUCUGGAGGAACACCGGUGGCGAAGGCGGCAUCCUGGACCAAUAUUGACGCUGAGGAGCGAAAGCCAGGGGAGCAAACGGG